CAAACUAGGAGGAUGGCGACCGGCGCACGGGUGAGUAACACGUAUCCAACCUGCCGAUAACUCGGGGAUAGCCUUUCGAAAGAAAGAUUAAUACCCGAUAGUAUAACGAAACCGCAUGGUCUUAUUAUUAAAGAAUUUCGGUUAUCGAUGGGGGAUGCGUUCCAUUAGGCAGUUGGUGAGGUAACGGCUCACCAAACCUUCGAUGGAUAGGGGUUCUGAGAGGAAGGUCCCCCACAUUGGAACUGAGACACGGUCCAA
rnacentral:rRNA from 1 species